UGGCCAGCGGGGAGCGCGCGGAGGAGAGGGGCGGGGCGGACGCGGAGCUGCAGUUAGUCUAGCGCGACCGCCGCGAGUGCGUGUGAGGGCCGCCGAGUUCU
rnacentral:pre_miRNA from 1 species